rnacentral:lncRNA from 1 species
UGCAUCAAUUUACUUUUAAAAGAAAUACUUAAUUCAACUCGAUUCUUAUGCAUAAUCGGAUGCCUAAAUGCUAAAUACUAACUUAUUCGAAGAGUUAAAUUUUUUUUAACAUUAUUAUUCUUUUUCUCCAAUUUAAUCGAUAUCGUCCUCAAUGGAGUAGGAAAAAUAAAGUAUGAUAGACAAAGAGGAAAAAAAGGAGAGAUGUCUUCUGAACCAGGUAUGUACUUGAUCUAGCGUGAAGGCAAAAUUGGUUCUACCCCCAACUUAGUCCUAAACUUAAAAAGAAAGUAAGUUAAAAAUAAAAAAAAAUUCAAAUAUAAAAACUGGGUUGCCUCCCAACAAGUACUAAGUUUACCAUCUUCAGCUAGACAUGAGUUGGGUUCCUAAAUAAACUAAAAAAAUAAAAGUAAAAUAUAAAAAUCUGUGUUGCCUCUUAGGAGCGUUAAGU